UACGAGGGGUCCAAGCGUUGUUCGGAAUUAUUGGGCGUAAAGCGGGUGUAGGUGGCUCUAUAAGUCAGGAGUGAAAUCCCCAAGCUUAACUUGGGAAGUGCUUUUGAUACUGCAGAGCUUGAAUGUGGGAGAGGUUAAUAGAAUUUCAGGUGUAGUGGUGAAAUACGUAGAUAUCUGGAGGAAUACCGGAGGCGAAGGCGGUUAACUGGCCCAACAUUGACACUGAGACCCGAAAGCGUGGGGAUCAAACAGG
rnacentral:rRNA from 1 species